rnacentral:lncRNA from 1 species
CACAGGUAAUGAUGUUCCUGUUCUGCAGAAAUAGGGAUGGCACCUUCAAGUGAAAGUCUUACAAUCUACUCCAGGGAAAAAUCAGAACAUCUUUCUUAGAUUUUAUGAUCUCCUUCUGGGGAGAAGAGCAAGGCAAGUGCUUCUAGGGGCAGAUGGUAUGAAGCGCCGUACUUAG